CGGACGGGUGAGUAACACGUGGAUAACCUACCUAUAAGACUGGGAUAACUUCGGGAAGCCGGAGCUAAUACCGGAUAAUAUAUUGAACCGCAUGGUUCAAUAGUGAAAGACGGUUUUGCUGUCACUUAUAGAUGGAUCCGCGCCGCAUUAGCUAGUUUGUAAGGUAACGGCUUACCAAGGCAACGAUGCGUAGCCGACCUGAGAGGGUGAUCGGCCACACUGAACUGAGACACGGUCCAG
rnacentral:rRNA from 1 species